rnacentral:rRNA from 1 species
AGAGUUUGAUCAUGGCUCAGAACGAACGCUGGCGGCGUGGAUAAGACAUGCAAGUCGAACGGGGUUAUAAUUGUAGUAAUACAAUUAUAGCUUAGUGGCGAACGGGUGCGUAACACGUGAGUAAUCUGCCGGGAAGUGUGGGAUAGCUCGCCGAAAGGCGAAUUAAUACCGCAUGUGGCUAGGGGUGACAUCACUCCGAAGCCAAAGUCGCAAGACGCUUCCUGAUGAGCUCGCGGCCUAUCAGCUAGUUGGUGAGGUAACGGCUCACCAAGGCAAUGACGGGUAGCUGGUCUGAGAGGACGACCAGCCACACUGGAACUGAGACACGGUCCAGACACCUACGGGUGGCAGCAGUCGAGAAUUUUUCACAAUGGGGGAAACCCUGAUGGAGCGACGCCGCGUGGAGGACGAAGGUCUUCGGAUUGUAAACUCCUGUCAUGCGGGAACAAGAAAGUGAUAGUGCUGC